UACGUAGGUCCCGAGCGUUGUCCGGAUUUAUUGGGCGUAAAGCGAGCGCAGGUGGUUUAUUAAGUCUGGUGUAAAAGGCAGUGGCUCAACCAUUGUAUGCAUUGGAAACUGGUAGACUUGAGUGCAGGAGAGGAGAGUGGAAUUCCAUGUGUAGCGGUGAAAUGCGUAGAUAUAUGGAGGAACACCGGUGGCGAAAGCGGCUCUCUGGUCUGUAACUGACGCUGAGGGUCGAAAGCGUGGGUAGCAAACAGG
rnacentral:rRNA from 1 species